rfam:Callithrix jacchus chromosome 6, whole genome shotgun sequence
CCACAGGCUCUUCUCAGAGCCCCAUCCAAGACAGAAUCCCAAACCAG